GAUGUUGAUGACGUGGGUAGAUGUUGACGACGUGGGCAGAAGUCUGGUUGCAGUUUGUAUAUGAGCCAGGCUUCUUUGUUUCAGACAAAGAUUUGUGGCACCGUUGCCUUAUCCUCUAUAUUUGUGUUGCCUAUGUACUUGCAUCUCAUAUAAUCCUUUAUAAUACGAGAGCAACAGAGAAGAUCAGAUAAUUGCUAAACAAGGAAUCGGAGAAAGUCACCUAUGGGAUAACGGCAAAAUAAAAGGAAACUAGUUGAAACCAAGAAAGCAUCUUGUUUGUAUAGGUUAUAGUUUCUAAUUCUAAAAUUGGUUCCUUAUUUACCCUUUGAUUUUUUGUGUGUUUGUUGCUAUACCAGUAAAUGGAUGUUCUUGAGGAUUUUGUAUGAGAUUGUAAUCAGGAGUCUAGAGGAGUUUGUACGAGAUUGUGAUCCGGCUCUUCAUAUUUCUCCAAGGAAUGUAUGGUUUUCAGUGGACAGAGUCAUCCCCUCACAGUAGGUCAAUUAUAGUUUCAACACGCUUUAGUAUCAUGUUACAUGUUUCUCGGUGAGUUUCUUCCUCUGCCUAUUUGGGGCCAUUUAUCUUGGAUUGUUAGCUGUCAUUUUUCAUGGUUCCAUGAUAUGGAGAGGUACAAGGGUUUUAAGUACCCAUUUUGUUAAUUUCUCUCCUCUCUCGGAGUUUUUUGAUGCCGUCCUAUUCUUUAAUUAUCUGUCAGCAAAGAUUCUAACCUGACUUUUAUCCUUCUUUGAUACGGAAAAGUGUAAGGGUUUAUAAGUACCAUUAUAUUAAUUUGUAUCUGGAUCUCCUCUCUCUCUGUGGGUGUUUUGAUGCUUCCUAAUUCUUUGAUUAUCUGUCAGCAAAUUUUCUGACCUGUGGCUUUUUAUGCUUCCUUGAUGUGGAAAAGUACAAGGGUUUAUGAUAGAAGUAUAUAUGGCCAGAAAUAUAUAUAGAUGGAUGGAUUAGAUCUAGAACAGGAAAUACUGAUUACUGUGAUUAGUAUUGACAUUGGAAAUAAACCCUAGCAAUUUGAGGAGUUAGGAGCCUCCCAUUCUUUUACAGUCCAAAUACUCGAUACUCAAAACCCUGCUUACAAAAAACCUUAAAAACCCAAAAGAGACAAUGAGGCAGGGAAAGAUAAACCAUUAUAUUAAUUUAUCUCUCCUCUCUCUCUCUCUCUCUCUCUGUGUGUUUUGAUUCCCCCUUAUUAUUUUACUAUCUGUUAGCAAAAUUUCUAACAUGUGGUUUUAAUGGUUUUAUUGAAAAUCAUAUGGGUUUAUAAAUACCAUAAUAUUAAUUUCUCCUCUCUCUUACAAUCUGUGUUUUGUUGCCUCUUUAUUCUUUAAUUAUCUGAUGCUUCGUUUUCUGAUUUUCCGCAUUUUUUCCCUAGUUAUUUGUUUCAAUGGUUAUAUCAAUUGAAUUUUUAGUCAUUAAAAGUUUCUUUAUGAAGGAUAUAUGUAAGGCUAAUGUUUUUCUUUGAGGAACUAAAAAGGAUGACGUCAAUGACUUGGAACAUUUCUAAGGAUGCUAAGGUCUCAUUUGCGGGAAAAGACGGGAGACAGUGAACUGAUAUAAAUUGUUCACAAAUGUCUGAAAAUUAGCAAUAAAACAUUUCCAUGUAACAACAACUUGACAUUUCUUGGGGAGAUGUUGCUUGGUCAAUUCACUGGUAUGUUCUCUUCAGGUUACUUUUGUUUUUUUUUUUUGUGUGUUUUAUCUCAUACGAUAAUGGACAAUCAUAGUGUCUGUUUUGCUUAAAUGAAGAGUUCAAAUCUUUUCGGCUUCAAAACCUUCAAACCAGUAGUUCUUUCUCUUUUCACUCGACUGUUCUGUGUCCUCGUUUUCAAAAGGUCCAAACUUCACUACUUCUUUUAUAUAAACGGUGUUUAACUUGUAGAUAUGAUGUUUGCCCCUGAUGAUGAUCCUGUCCGAAAACAUAUGAAGCACAUAUACAUUAUAACAAUUAACAAUCAUUUGGGUGUAAAUUUUUGUUUUAUACUUGUGCAUCUUAGAGCUUGGAUCUUUUUAUAUCUCUGGUUCAUAAUCAUGUAACUUACUAACCAUUUUCGUCGUUCUUUGGUGCUGCUACUUUGUUCGAGUGUCCUCGUCCCCUUAGCUUAGAUUGCAUACUUCUCUCUCCCCUCCUAUUUUUUUUUUUUUUCUCAUAGCCAUCAACUUACUGUAUGAAACCCUCUUCAUGGUGUCAACUUAGGGAUGGAUGUCAUUUUACACCUUGAUAGUAAUAGAACUUUUGCGGUAUCAGAAAUCGGAGUUUAUUAUGUCUGCUUUAGUAUUUCUGCACUUUUUAAGCCAUUUCUGGGGUGCUGUGGUAAAACAACUUCUUUUCUACUGGAGAGGAGAGACCUUUUGCUUUUCAAGUCCGCCAUGGCAUGCUGUAUUUUUCUAUUAAAAAAAUGUUUAAAAAAUUGA